GUUGGUGGGGUAAAGGCCUACCACAGGCGACGAUCUGUAGCGGGUCUGAAAAGAUGAUCCGCCACACUGGGACUGAAACACGGCCCACACUCCUACGGGAGGAAGCAAUGGGGAAUAUUGGACAAUGGGGGGAACCCUGAUCCAGCCAUGCCGCGUGUGUGAAGAAGGCCUUAUGGUUGUAAAGCACUUUAAACGAGGAGGAGGCUACUAGUAUUAAUACUACUGGAUAGUGGACCUUACUCACAUAAUAAGCACCGGCUAACUCUGUGCCAGAAGCCGCGGUAAUACAGAGGGUGCUAGCGUUAAUCAGAUUUAC
rnacentral:rRNA from 1 species